AGAUGCCAGAGACUUGACCUUGUGGGAAAAUUCAAGGAGAGUUUAGGAAGGGGUUUCCCAGGGCCUGUACCCUGUCACAGCCAGGGGGGACUUGAACCGCUGGCAGCAGAGGAGACACACCCUAUAAAGACUUCCAGAGCACCGCUAGAAGCCCAAGGGGCGUAUGUAGCAGUCUGGCUCUUGGAGAAUUGCCCAGCUGUCCUGUCUCUGCACAUGGAAUCCCCUUGAGUUUGGGUUAGCCUGCUGGGAGGUUAAUAGUCAAGCUUCAUGAGAACUUGAAACAGUUUGCAGCACUGCUAAUAAGAAGGAAUAUCCCUCAAGAUCAUUCCUCUUGUCCCUGAUCAAAGGAGAGACAAAAAUGCUUUGUAUUAACGACUUCAGGAGAUCUUCCCUAUAUGUUUCAACUGGCUGGAGCAAAAAGGAAACCCUCACAAACCCAGCUUCAUCUAGGAGUAAUUUGGUGUGCAGUGGCUAAGGAUUAUUAAAAUACAGAAAUCUCUGUGAAUCAACACCAUAUCUGGGAAGUUUCCUGUUCUUUUUAAA